rnacentral:rRNA from 1 species
CAGUCGCCACGGGAAUACGUAGGUGGCAAGCGUUGUCCGGAAUUAUUGGGCGUAAGGGCUCGCAGGCGGUUUCUUAAGUCUGAUGUGAAAGCCCCCGGCUCAACCGGGGAGGGUCAUUGGAAACUGGGAAACUUGAGUGCAGAAGAGGAGAGUGGAAUUCCACGUGUAGCGGUGAAAUGCGUAGAGAUGUGGAGGAACGCCAGUGGCGAAGGCGACUCUCUGGUCUGUAACUGACGCUGAGGAGCGAAAGCGUGGGGAGCGAACAGGAUUAGAUACCCCUGUAGUCCCUGUCUCUUAUACA